rnacentral:rRNA from 1 species
UACGUAGGGUGCAAGCGUUAUCCGGAAUUAUUGGGCGUAAAGAGCUCGUAGGCGGUUUGUCGCGUCUGCUGUGAAAACUGGAGGCUCAACCUCCAGCCUGCAGUGGGUACGGGCAAACUAGAGUGCGGUAGGGGAGAUUGGAAUUCCUGGUGUAGCGGUGGAAUGCGCAGAUAUCAGGAGGAACACCGAUGGCGAAGGCAGAUCUCUGGGCCGUAACUGACGCUGAGGAGCGGAAAGCAUGGGGAGCGAACAGG